CCUACGGGAGGCAGCAGUAAGGAAUAUUGGUCAAUGGAGGCAACUCUGAACCAGCCAUGCCGCGUGCAGGAAGAAGGCCCUAUGGGUCGUAAACUGCUUUUGUACCAGAGAAAACCACAGUACGUGUACUGUGUUGAUAGUAUGGUAAGAAUAAGCAUCGGCUAACUUCGUGCCAGCAGCCGCGGUAAGACGAAGGAUGCAAGCGUUAUCCGGAUUCAUUGGGUUUAAAGGGUGCGUAGGCGGACUGAUAAGUCAGUGGUGAAAUCUCUCAGCUUAACUGAGAAACUGCCAUUGAUACUGUUAGUCUAGAGUAUAGAUGACGUUGGCGGAAUAUGACAUGUAGUGGUGAAAUACUUAGAUAUGUCAUAGAACACCGAUUGCGAAGGCAGCUAACGAAACUAUAACUGACGCUGAGCACGAAGUAGNGGAGUACAACAGAUAGUAUACCUCGUAGUCGCACCGUAACGAUANAUACUCGUUGUUGUGAUAU
rnacentral:rRNA from 1 species